GUCUCUUUUGACCGCGAGGUGUCUUCGUACGGCGUAUAUUCACGUGCUCUUCCACUAAACUCAUAACACAUAAGAUGUCCGGAUGUGCUGCAGAUCGAGGAGGAGGAUGUGCUGGAGUUCUUUGCAGCAGGAACCAGCCUGUACUUCCAGGUAGAGCAGUGUCUGCAAGAGGAAGACUGACUGUGUCGGAAGUGUGCCAGAGUGAUUUGGCUGGGUUUUCGCUAACACCAUUAGGACUGCUGUCCCAUGACUGGGGUUUGAUAGUGACCUGGGCCACAUUCUUGGUAUAAUGAAAUUGUGUUUUUCUAUUCUUCCUGUUCGCCUCUGUGUAAAAGCCUCUGAUGCAUCUGACCCUUUAAGACCAAAUUCAUUUACCAGCUGAAAUGUUCUUGCAUGUCUCUAUUAAUAUGACCUCAGAUGAAAGUGUAGCAUCCAAAUUAUGUGUCUCUUAAACAAAUUAUCACACGAUGACACUUGAAUGGAUGGAUGAAUGAAUGGAUUUUAUUUGGUAGCUGUAGUGGUCUAAACUUUUGAGAUCAUAGCAUUAAUGUCAAGUUUCAUGUGAAACUAAUAAAUAAAAAAUGAAUGAUGUUAGUGUCAUCAAUUUAUAUACAGUAUAUAUCUACUUUUGCUUGUUUAUACAACCCUGGAUCCUUUGUUUUAGGAUAGUUUAAAG
rnacentral:lncRNA from 1 species